UACGUAGGUCCCGAGCGUUAUCCGGAUUUAUUGGGCGUAAAGCGAGCGCAGGUGGUUUAUUAAGUCUGGUGUAAAAGGCAGUGGCUCAACCAUUGUAUGCAUUGGAAACUGGUAGACUUGAGUGCAGGAGAGGAGAGUGGAGUUCCAUGUGUAGCGGUGAAAUGCGUAGAUAUAUGGAGGAACACCGGUGGCGAAAGCGGCUCUCUGGCCUGUAACUGACACUGAGGCUCGAAAGCGUGGGGAGCAAACAGG
rnacentral:rRNA from 1 species